rnacentral:snRNA from 1 species
GCAAGUUCGAAUCGCUAAUGGUUUAACAACAGAGAAGAUUAGCAUGGCCCCUGCACUAAGGAUGACACGCUCAAUCAAAGAGAAGCUAAACAUUUUU